rnacentral:rRNA from 1 species
AUGGCGUCCUCGCCGGUCAAGUUCUUCUCGGUGUUCCUCGCCGUCUCCGUCGUCGGCUGGGUCGUCUUCACGUUUGCCGCAAGAUUGUUAGCUUGGUUCUUGAGCCGUGUAUUACGUGCUUCCGUUGUGUUUCGAGUUGCUGGCUUCAAUUGCUUGCGUGAUGUAACCAUAAAGUUCAGCAAGGGUCCUCUUGAAUCUGUUUCAAUUGGUGAAAUAAAACUAAGUUUCCGCAAGUCACUGGUCAAACUAAGUUUCGGUGUCCUUUCCAAGGAUCCAAAGGUGCAACUGCUGAUAAGUGAUCUUGAAAUUGUAACUAGAUCAUCUUCGCGAAGCAAAAAGACAAGCAAACCAUCAAAGCCUCGCUCCACGGGAAAAGGGAAAUGGUUGAUAACAUCAAGUAUGGCUAGACUUUUAUCAGUUUCUGUGGCAGAUCUGAUGAUCAAGGUACCAGAUGGUGCUGUUGACAUCAAAGAGCUAAAGUUGGAUACAUUUAAAAUCGCUGGACCUAAUCAUAUUCUUGGUGUCAAGUUGCACAUAUUACCUUUAAAUGUACACCUUGGAGAUUUUGGGCUGAUUGCUGAUCCGGUGGGCAGCGGUAAUCAGCUUGAUACUUUCCAGUCUGAUCAAGCUUCUCUAUCAAGUUCUGAGAAAUUUUUGGCACCAUUUGUUUGUGAAGAUUUGUUGGUAAUUUGUGAGUUUGGUCAUGAAAAGGAAAGAGGUGUUAAAAUUGUUAAUCUUGAAUUGAAAUGUGGAGAUGUUACUGCCAACAUCGAUGAACGACUCUUUUACAAGAAUGCAAAGCCAGAGAAUAAUGGUGGCUCUGAGAAUGCUGGAGAUGCUAUCGCUGGUACUUCUUCAACUAAACAGUCCUCAAAAAGCAAAUCUAUUCUACCAGCAUUAAAGAAGCAGAUGCUUGCAUUUCCAGAUAAGGUUAGCUUCAGUCUGCCGAAGCUUGAUGUGAAGUUUACACACCUGGGGGAAGGGCUUAGUGUUGAUAACAAUGUUAUGGGGAUUCACUUUACUAGUACGAUAUCCCUGCCACAGGAUGAUCUAGAGGAAGCUACACCGCACUUCGAUGUUCAGAUUGUUCUUAGUGAGAUCCAUUUAGUUAGAGAAGGCUCAAGCUCUCUGUUGGAAGUUCUUAAAGUUGCUGUGGUAGCUUCUUUGGAUAUUCCGUUGGAUCCGCUUCUUCCAAUCAGAGCUGAAAUCGAUGCCAAGCUUGGUGGUACACAAUGCAAUCUUAUGUUGAGCAGAUUGAUGCCAUGGAUGCGCCUUCAUUCUUCGAGAACCAAAGGAAUGAAGCUUUCAAAGGCAAACUCUCAUCAAGAAAUUUCUCAAACAAAGGAGAUCAAGCCAAUUAUGUGGACUUGCACAGUUUCUGCCCCAGAAAUGACUGUCAUGCUUUACAGCCCUAGUGGGUUGGUAUUAUAUCAUGCUUGUUGCCAGUCAUCACAUGUAUUUGCAAAUAACAUUGCCAGCAAGGGGAUUCAGAUACACACUGAACUUGGUGAAAUGCUGGUGCACAUGGAAGAUGGGUAUAGGGAAUUCUUGAAGGAAAACAUAUUUGGUGUUGAUACUUACUCUGGCUCCUUAAUGCACAUUGCUCGGGUGAGCCUUGACUGGGGGUACAGAGAAAUUGAGGUCCAAGAUAUGGCUGAAACUAGUAGACUUGCACUUGUAUUUUCCAUUGAUAUCAGUGGCAUAGGAGUAAAGUUUGGUUUCAAGCAUUUAGAAUCUCUUCUGCUCAAUUUGAUGUCCUUUAGGGAUCUAUUUAAGAACCUUUCAUCCUCUCGUGAGAAGGAUAAAGAAAAGGAUUUGGAGGAGAGACGGAAAAAGAAAACAAAAGGCAUUGAAAUAUUGAAAUUAAGCCUACAAAAGUUCUCUAUUACUUACAGUGGUGAUAUCAAUAUAUUAAAUAUGCCAAUUGCUGAUCCAAAGCGCGUCAACUAUGGCACUCAAGGUGGUCAAGUAAUUGUUGAUGUUUCUGCUGAUGGCACGCAACGUACGGCAAGUAUAACUUCGGAACCACCUGGCAUUGGCCGCAACUUGAGGUUCACCUCAUCUUUAGUUAUCUCUCAUCUCGCUGUAUGUGUAGACAAGGAGAAAAAGUCAACACAAGCAGAAUUGGAACGGGUGAAAGCAAUGUACGAGGAGGAUCACAGCUCUGGUGUCAAAGUGACCUUACUAGAUAUGCAGAAUGCUAAAAUUGUUCGCCGAUCCGGUGGCCUUACAGAUGUCGCUGUUUGUUCCCUCUUCAGUGCAACAGACAUUAAUAUCAGAUGGGAACCUGAUGCUCAUUUAGCACUCUUUGAGACCUUUAUCCGCUUUAAGUGGUUCCUGCAUCAUAACAAGAUUCAGAGUUCCGAGAAGCUGAUGACUGGAACUGGCAGUAUCAAGGAGAAUGAGCAUGUCAACAUAGCUGCUGGUUCAGUGAAACCUCAGAAGUCUGACAAAAGAGGUUCAAUUUUUGCCGUUGAUGUGGAAGUGUUGAGAAUAUCUGCUGAGCUCGCAGAUGGUGUCGAAGCAAACAUGCAUGUACAAUCUAUCUUCACUGAGAAUGCCAAGAUAGGUGUACUAUCGGAGGGUCUUUCUGUCAGCCUUAAUGGUGCCAGGGUUCUAAACAGCACACGAAUACAGAUCUCAUGUAUUCCUUUCAGUACUGCAAAUUCGCUCAGUGCAAAGGUUGAACCAUCACCCAAGAGAGAUUGGGUCGUUCAAGGGCUAGAUGUUCAUAUUUGCAUGCCAUUCAGGUUACCAUUGCGUGCCAUAGAGGAUGCCGUUGAAGAUAUGAUUCGUGCUCUAAAGCUUGUUUCUGCUGCCAAAAGAAGUAUAUUGUUUCCUGAUGGCAAAGAGAACUCGAAGAAGGUUAAGUCUGGAGCUUCCAGUUUUGGAUCUGUAAAGUUCGUGUUGCGUAAACUCACGGCAGAAAUAGAGGAGGAGCCCAUACAAGGUUGGCUCGAUGAACAUUACUAUUUGAUGAGGAACAAAACCUGUGAAUCAGGUGUUAGAUUAAAAUUUCUUGAUGAUGCUAUAUCAGGAAGUGUAGAUUCUAACCACUGCAGCUCUGAGGGAAAAUUUAUAUAUGAGGGAAUAGAGGUUGACGUGCAUGACACUGCAGCUCUUCAAAGGCUGCGGGAAGAAAUCCAUAAGAAAGCAUUUCGAUCGUAUUAUGUGGCUUGUCAAAAGAAGGUAUUUGCGGAAGGGUCGGGGGCGUGCGCAGAAGGUUUUCAAGCUGGAUUCAAGCCAAGUUCACGGAGAGCUUCACUUCUUUCACUUUCUGCUUCUGAACUUGAUAUUACUUUGACCAGAAUAAAUGGUGGAGCAACAGAGAUGGUUGAAUUUAUAAAGGGAGUCGACCCUGUUUGUCAGGAGGAACACAUACCAUUCUCUCGACUAUAUGGGAGUGAUAUUGCUCUCCUUGCAGGGUCCUUGGUCAUACAAGUGAGAGACUAUACAUCUCCUCUCUUUUCUGCAACCAGUGGGAAAUGUCAAGGCCGUGUUGUGCUUGCCCAGCAGGCAACAUGUUUUCAACCCCAAAUACACCAAGAUGUAUAUAUUGGCAGAUGGCACAAAGUCAAAAUGUUACGUUCUGCCAGUGGUACCACACCAGCAAUUAAAAUGUACUCCAAUUUACCUGUUUAUUUCCAGAGAGGAGAAAUUUCUUUUGGAGUUGGCUAUGAGCCAUCUUUUGCUGAUAUAAGUUAUGCAUUUCAAGUAGCCCUAAAGAGAGUUAAUCUUAGCUCCAGAGUUAAAAGUUCUGGUGCAGCAAACCAACCGCCUAAAAAGGAGCGCAGCUUGCCAUGGUGGGAUGACAUCAGAUACUACAUCCAUGGAAAGAUAGUUUUGUAUUUCAAUGAGACAAAAUGGAAGAUCCUGGCAACAACUAAUCCUUAUGAGAAGGUAGACAGACUGCAAAUUGUUUCUGAAUACAUGGAAAUCCAGCAAACGGAUGGGCAUGUAGAUGUCUCUGCAAAGGAAUUCGGGAUGUAUAUCAGUAGCUUAGAGAGUAUGAUGAAGAAUUGCAGCUUAAAAGUGCCAUCUGGCGUGCCCAGGCCUUUUAUUUAUGCUCCUUUGUUCUCUCUUAAUGUGAUUAUCGACUGGCAGUGUGAAUCUGGCAGCCCUUUGAAUCAUUAUCUGCAUGCACUCCCUAUUGAGGGUGAGCCAAGGAAGAAGGUUUAUGAUCCAUUUCGAUCUACUUAUCUCUCUCUUAGGUGGAACUUCUCCCUUAGACCUUUGCAGGUGCAGUCUGAUAAUGGCACAUCAUCUCCCUGCUAUGCAAACAAUUCAAUGCUAUGUGGGUCUGCCUUUGGUAGUUGCUCCAAAAUAGCUGAUGUUGAUUUCCCUACAAUGAACCUGGGUGCUCAUGACCUUGCUUGGGUUUUCAAAUGGUGGAGCUUAAACUACAGCCCCCCACACAAACUGCGUUCUUUCUCUAGAUGGCCUCGAUAUAAAAUUCCUCGAGCUGCUAGAUCUGGUAACCUCUCAAUGGAUAAAGUUUUGGUUGAGUUCUUUUUCCGGGUUGAUGCUACUCCCUGUUGCAUAAGACAUGCCACUUUAACUGAAGAUGAUCCUGCCAGUGGCUUGACCUUUAAAAUGUCAAGUUUGAAGUAUGAAUUGUGUUACAGUCGAGGUAAACAGAAAUACACAUUUGAUUGUAAGCGUGAACCUCUGGAUCUAGUUUAUCGCGGUCUUGAUCUAUACAGGCCAGAGGUUUAUCUAGUGCGAGAUGUUAACUCAUCCUCAGUUGAAAAUGUGUCCAAAUUAAAGACUACUACCCUGCCGUCACAGGGCAAAGAUAAAUGCACCAUGGGCAGUUUUCAAGAAAAACAUGAGGAUGGUUUCCUCUUGUCCUCUGAUUAUUUCACAAUAAGAAGACAAGCUCCAAAGGCAGAUCCUGCAAGGCUUAUGGAAUGGCAGGAUGCUGGUCGGAAUCUUGAGAUAACAUAUGUCAGAUCUGAGUUUGAGAAUGGCAGUGAAAGCGACCAUAGUCUAUCUGAGCAUAGUGAUGAUGAUGAUGGUUUCAAUGUGGUGUUGGCAGAUAAUUGUCAACGGGUGUUUGUGUACGGUCUUAGACUUUUAUGGACCAUUGAGAAUCGUGAUGCAGUUUGGUCAUGGGUUGGAGGAAUUUCCAAAGCAUUUGAACCUCCAAAACCCUCGCCUUCGCGGCAAUAUGCACAAAGAAAGAUGAUCGAGGAAAGGCAGAAUGCAGAUAGCUCUAGAUUAGCUCAAGAUGCUACCUCUUCUACCCAUGCUGGUUCUCCUUCGGUGCAGCAUGCUGAAGCUCUGGGCUCUACUUCUCCAUUGCAUAGUAAACCCAAUCGCUCCUCUGAUAUAGCAGUGAAGUAUGGCAUGUUCGAUGAUUUGGAUAAAGGAGGGAAUCUCCAUUUUAUGGUUAAUGUUGUCAAGCCCCAGUUCAACCUACAUUCUGAAGAUGCCAAUGGUAGAUUUCUACUUGCUGCAGCUAGUGGGCGUGUUAUGGCACGUUCAUUUCAUUCAGUUGUUCAUGUUGGGAAAGAGAUGCUAGAGCAAGCACUGGGGACAAGCAGUCUACAUAUUCCCGAACCACAACCUGAAAUGACCUGGAAAAAAGCUGAUCUCUCCGUGAUUCUGAAAGAUGUUCAGGCUCAUGUUGCACCGACUGAUGUGGACCCUGGUGCAGGCCUACAGUGGCUUCCUCGUAUUCUUGGUAGUUCGGAGAAAUUGAAGCGCACAGGGGCCUUGCUAGAGAGAGUAUUUAUGCCUUGCCAGAUGUACUUCCGUUAUACUCGUCACAAGGGUGGAACUGCAGACUUGAAGGUUAAGCCAUUAAAGGAGUUACGUUUCAAUUCUCCAAACAUUACCGCAACAAUGACUUCACGCCAGUUUCAAGUUAUGUUGGAUGUGCUUAGCAAUCUCCUGUUCGCAAGACUUCCCAAGCCUAGGAAAAACAGUCUUCAGUAUCCAUCGGAUGACGAAGAUGUUGAAGAAGAGGCUGAUGAGGUGGUUCCUGAUGGAGUAGAAGAGGUGGAGCUUGCAAAAAUUAAUCUCGAACAGCGAGAAAGGGAGAGAAAGUUAUUGCUUGAUGAUAUAAGAUCCUUAGCUGGAACUGGUGAUAGUCAUAUCGACCAUCUUUCUGCGGAAAAGGAUAAUUCGUUCUGGAUGAUUAACAGUGAGAAAGCAUCACUGGUGGAAGGACUGAAGAGAGACCUUCUAAAUCUCCAGAAAUCUCGAAAAUUUGCAUCUUCUGCGUUAAGGAAAGCACUACAAAAAGCUGCCCAGUUACGCUUGAUGGAAAAAGAAAAGAACAAAACCCCAUCUUGUGCCAUGCGAAUCUCUAUGAAAAUCAGCAAAGUUGUAUGGAGCAUGCUUGCAGAUGGGAAUACUUUUGCCGAAGCUGAGAUCAGUGAUAUGGUAUAUGAUUUUGAUCGUGACUACAAAGACAUUGGUGUUGCUCGGUUUACGACUAAGUAUUUCGUUGUGAGGAAUUGCAUGGCUAGUGCCAAAUGUGAUACAUUGUUGUCUGCAUGGAAUGCACCUCCAGAAAAAGGUGUCAUGCUUCGUGUGGACGCGAAGCAAGGUGCUCCGAAGGAUGGAAAUUCCCCUCUUGAGCUCUUUCAGGUGGAGAUAUACCCAUUGAAAAUAUACCUCCCGGAAACAAUGUAUAGAAUGAUGUGGGAUUAUUUCUUUCCUGAGGAAGAUGAUUCUCAAAGACGUCAGGAUAUUUGGAGGGUCUCAACAUCAACUGGAUCUAGAAGAACUAGAAGAGUAUCUUCUGGUGCUGAUGCUGUUGCUUCUACCAGCUAUUCUGUCAGGGAGCAUGAGCUUCCUGGGAGAUCAGGUACUGCAGUAAACGUCUCAAGUUGGCAAGGUUCACAUGGAGACAAUCCGCAGGUAUCCAAGUUGCAGAGUCUAAAGGCCAAUAUGGUAUGCGGUUCACAUCCGGAGUUGGGACGGACAUCUUCAUUUGGAAAGGCCUGGGGAGAAAGUGCGACAGAAAAUACCACAAAUAAUGAUGUGGUAUCGCUACUGAAUCCUUCGAACAUUUCUUCAAAAAGCGACGGCUAUUCUAUGGCAGAGAACACUGUUGCUGCUACUGAGAUGUUCAGGAGUAAGACUAAAGAUCCCAAAUCGAUGAAGUCUGGCCGUUUAUCUCACGAGGAAAAGAAAACAGGGAAAUCCCAUGAUGAGAAGCGGCCAAGAGCUCGGAAAUUGAUGGAAUUUCAUAAUAUCAAGAUUAGCCAGGUUGAACUUCUUGUUACUUACGAGGGAUCGAGGCUUGCAAUAAAUGACCUAAGGCUGCUUAUGGAUACUUUUCACCGUGUAGAAUUUACUGGUACAUGGAGGAGGUUGUUCUCAAGAGUUAAAAAGCAUAUUAUUUGGGGUGUUCUAAAGUCGGUGACUGGGAUGCAGGGGAAGAAGUUUAAGGCCCAGAACCAGAGGGAAACACUUGAUGGUACUGUUCCAGAAAAUGAUCUUAAUUUCAGCGACAGUGAUGGCAGCCAUCAUGGAAAACCUGAUCAGUUCCCAGUAUCAUGGUUGAAGAGGCCAGGUGACGGUGCAGGUGAUGGAUUUGUCACAUCGAUUAGAGGGCUAUUCAAUUCGCAGCGCCGUAGAGCAAAGGCAUUUGUGGUGCGGGCAAUGCGAGGCGAUGGAGAUAAUGAAUACCAUGACGAGGGGAGUGAGAGUGAUGGCGAGUAUCCUUUUGCUAGACAGCUCACAAUUACAAAAGCUAAGAAGCUCCUCCGAAGAAAGUUCCGCCCGAGAGGGCAAAAGAUCAUAGGACCAGCAAUGCAAGAUUCUCUCCCGUCUAGCCCGCGUGAAACAACACCGUACCAGAGCGAUUCGUCAGAGUCGUCUUAUGAGGACUUCCAUGAGUAG